rnacentral:rRNA from 1 species
CACUCCUACGGGAGGCAGCAGUGGGGAAUUUUGGACAAUGGGCGAAAGCCUGAUCCAGCAAUGCCGCGUGAGUGAAGAAGGCCUUCGGGUUGUAAAGCUCUUUUGUCAGGGAAGAAACGGUGAGAGCUAAUAUCUUUUGCUAAUGACGGUACCUGAAGAAUAAGCACCGGCUAACUACGUGCCAGCAGCCGCGGUAAUACGUAGGGUGCAAGCGUUAAUCGGAAUUACUGGGCGUAAAGCGUGCGCAGGCGGUUUUGUAAGUCUGAUGUGAAAUCCCCGGGCUCGACCUGGGAAUUGCAUUGGAGACUGCAAGGCUAGAAUCUGGCAGAGGGGGGUAGAAUUCCACGUGUAGCAGUGAAAUGCGUAGAUAUGUGGAGGAACACCGAUGGCGAAGGCAGCACCCUGGGUCAAGAUUGACGCUCAUGCACGAAAGCGUGGGGAGCAAACAGGAUUAGAUACCCUAGUAGUCCC